AUCAUCUUAGCUCUCACUACUUAUGAUUUUCUUUAAUACUUAGUUUUUCGUCAGUGAAUCCAUUAUUUUCGAUUCAAGUUAUCAAGCAGGCGAGUAUUGUUAAUGUUUUGGGUAACAUCUAGACAUAGUAAAUUGAAAUUUGUGCUGAAAGUAGCUAAUUUUACAACUUUUUUUUUACCUUAAUCACAACAUUUUUAGAAAAAUUUUACUUGUAAAAUAUUUUUAUACGACGAGAAGAUAAAACUAAAACAAUGGCUGAUCAGCAAAAUGUUUCACCCAGCACAAACAAAGCCUUCGAAACUUUUAUUAACGCAUAUUCAUCACAAUAUGGAAACGAUACGCUUUCUCUGAUUCAAGGUGGAAAAUUGUGGAAUCGAAUGUCCGAAGCGCAAAAAAACAGAUAUCGACGUAUGAGCAGGAUGCAACUUGUUGACAGGGAAGGGGGCGACGGUAUGUGCUGCCCUCAAAAGCGUAGACGAAAACCGAGAUGCGCUCCAAAACCGAGAUGCGCUCCAAAACGGAGAUGCGCUCCAAAACGGAGAUGUGCUCCAAAACGGAGAUGUGCUCCAAAACGGAGAUGUGCUCCAAAACCGAGAUGCUCUCCAAAGCCACGAUGCGCUCCAAAGCCGAGAUGCGCUCCAAAGCCGAGAUGCGCUCCAAAGCCACGAUGCGCUCCAAAAUGCUC